GGGUUUUAAUUGCGCCAGGGUGCCUUCCUGCAUAGUUCGUGUUCCCUGACUAGCCUCUUCUUUGUUAUCCGGAAGUAAGGCCUCUCAGAACUCUGUCAUCUGCUUGCUCCACCCCAUACUGUCCAUAAAGUAUGUGGAGUACACUGUCGCUGUCUUCAGAGACACCAGAAGAAGGCAUCAGAUCCCAUUACAGAUGGUUGUGAGACACCAUGUGGUUGCUGGGAAUUGAACUCAGGACCUCUGGAGGAGCAGUCAGUGCUUUAAACCACUGGGCCACCUCUCCAGCCCCAAUGAGGAAUGCUCUUGAUCAUAUAAUUUUGAGCAGGGAAGACUCACCCUAAACAUCAGCACCCUCCGAUUACAGCCCAGAUCAAGGGAUGUGGAAGAAGAAACCUUUCUGUUGCCUCUCACCUUGUUGGCAAGUUCCUCUAUCCUGCUGUCCCGGUAUUUCUUCACUGGUAUCAGAACCAAUGUCUUUAGGCUUCUAAUGUAGACUGAAGACCAGCAGCUCUCCGGCGAUCCUCUAGGACUCUGGGACCAGAUUGGGACUGCUGAGACAGACAGCCUUGUAGAUGAAACAACUACCAGAUUCUCCACCCUGCAGGGUGAGCUGUCAACCUCAGAAUGUAGUUUCAAUGCAGGAAGACGAGUAGCUGUGAAGAAUGACAAAGACAGAAGAUAAACGCAGCAGCACCAGGAACAUGAAUUCACUGAGAACAAAAGCCGGUCAGCAGAUGUCUCAGAAAACCCAUUUGGGGAGCUCAGAAUGAGAGCAACCUGAGAAGACACCCAGGCUUUCCUUAUCCAGAACACAGCAGGUUUCAAAGUCACCCCAAGGAGGUGCCGGUUUCUUUCGCUCCUUAGCAAACUCUUCUUCUUCUUCUUCUUUUUAAAAUUGUUCUGACUCUGACCAAAAUGUAUGACCUAAUUUGCCC
rnacentral:lncRNA from 1 species